AUUGAACGCUGGCGGCAGGCUUAACACAUGCAAGUCGAGCGGGGGAAGGUAGCUUGCUACCGGACCUAGCGGCGGACGGGUGAGCAAUGCUUAGGAAUCUGCCUAUUAGUGGGGGACAACAUCUCGAAAGGGAUGCUAAUACCGCAUACGUCCUACGGGAGAAAGCAGGGGAUCUUCGGACCUUGCGCUACUAGAUGAGCCUAAGUCGGAUUAGCUAGUUGGUGGGGUAUAGGCCUACCAAGGCGACGAUCUGUAGCGGGUCUGAGAGGAUGAUCCGCCACACUGGGACUGGGACACGGCCCAGACUCCUACGGGAGGCAGCAGUGGGGAAUAUUGGACAAUGGGGGGAACCCUGAUCCAGCCAUGCCGCGUGUGUGAAGAAGGCCUUAUGGUUGUAAAGCACUUUAAGCGAGGAGGAGGCUCUUUUGGUUAAUACCCAAGAUGAGUGGACGUUACUCGCAGAAUAAGCACCGGCUAACUCUGUGCCAGCCGCCGCCGUAA
rnacentral:rRNA from 1 species